rnacentral:misc_RNA from 1 species
UAUGUGUGUGUAGUCAUCAUGUGAUCAUACUAUGGGCUGGUUGAACAUGGACAAGUGUUGCCUACUUAGAUGAAAUAAAUAACUCUCACUUUACAUGUACUAAUGACAGCAGUCCAUCGAAAUAAUACUCAGCAAUCAUCUAAUGAUGUUUUGCCAGAAAAUUCAGCCGACGAACAAACAGAAAAGCUUUUCACAGGUGAACAUGACGAUGAUAAACAAAACGACUGCUCUUCUCCGGAUGACCAAACAAACCAUGUGGAAGCUGGAGUUUCAGCGGAUAAUAUAAAUGUAAAUCCAAAUAUAAAUACUAAUCCAAGAAGGUUUAGCUUCCGAAAACUAUGGGCUUUUACAGGUCCAGGUUUUCUGAUGAGUAUUGCUUACUUGGAUCCAGGUAAUAUAGAAUCUGACCUUCAGACAGGAGUCAUUGUUAAAUAUAAGUUAUUAUGGAUGUUGUUUUGGUCAACAUUCAUGGGUUUGAUAUUACAACUCCUGGCAGCUCGACUUGGAUCUGUCACUGGAGAGAACUUAGCCCAAGUCUGCAGAAAAGAAUAUCCCAAAUUCCCUCGCCUACUUCUCUGGAUAAUGAUUGAGUUAGCUAUUAUAGGCAGUGAUAUUCAAGAAGUCAUUGGUUCGGCAAUUGCAAUUAACCUCCUGUCAAAUGGAUUGGUUCCAAUAUGGGGCGGUGUUUUAAUCACUGGUUUGGACACAUUCACUUUUUUAUUCCUGGAAAAUGCAGGACUGAGAAUACUGGAAGGUUUCUUUGGUCUACUAAUCUCUAUAAUGGCAGUGUGUUUCAUGUACCUGUUCAUUAUUAUCAAGCCAGACUUUGUAGAAAUCAUGAAAGGUUUAGCCAUUCCGUGGUGUAAAGACUGUAGCAGAGAUGGUAUUCAACAAAUGGCUGGCAUUAUUGGAGCUGUUGUGAUGCCUCAUAAUAUAUAUCUUCACAGUGCUCUCGUUUUGUCUCGUAGUGUUGACCGAACGGACAAAAGAAAUAUCAAAGAAGCUAACAUGUAUUAUACCAUUGAAUCGUCUUUGGCCCUGUUCUUAUCAUUUAUCAUCAACAUGUUUGUGGUAACUGUCUUCGCUGCUGCAAACCUACCUGAUGGCACUGAUACACUUGCAAAAGCUGGAACAUGGUUAGCUACACACUUCAAUAUGCCUGCUUUAAAAAUUAUUUGGGCAGUUGGAGUUUUGGCUUCUGGACAAAGUUCAACUAUGACGGGAACUUAUACUGGACAGUUUGUCAUGGAGGGUUUCCUUAACAUCAGAUGGCCAAAAUGGCAGCGUGUACUGAUGACCCGAUCAAUUGCAAUGGUUCCAACGAUUUUGGUGGCAUUAUUAGCUCAGAAAUUCUUGGAUCCUUUGAACACUUGGUUAAAUGUGUUACAGAGUGUCGAAUUACCAUUUGCAUUGUUUCCCAUUCUUCACUUUACAAGCAGUUUGAAGAUAAUGAAUGAUUUCAAAAAUGGCAGAACAGUGAAAGUCCUUGGUAUGUUUACUUGAUAACAGCCAUUGUUGGUCUACUGUAUUUCAUGUUUGUUUUAUACCUGGGUAUUGGGAGGAAGAAUUGCCUCAAAUUAAAGAUAUUUGUACUGAGAUGUCUUAGAAGAAUUUCUGAUUUGCCAGCCUUUGAACGAGAAGAACAAAUAGCCUAUGAAAUUUUAGAAGAACAAUAUUAAGCACCAGGAUUUUA